CUUACAUUAUUCUAGGUUAAAACUGGCCAUAUAUAUGGGCUUUGUUGUGUUAUGUGGUUACGAAGAAGAGUCCGUAACUCUUUUCUACAACUCCUGAGAUUUUGGACGUGCCCAACCUUUGAGCUUGAGCCAGAAAGCUGAAUUCUUCAAAAUUGAAAACAAAUUUGAAUAGGUCCAUUUGUGGGAUUGGGUUCUGAAUAAGAACUUUCUAAGCAUAUAGACUGGUCUUGCAUUAAGAAGCAGUCUACAAUGGCACUGGCAAGGGCUGCAAGGAGUGGCUUCUUUAGGUCAAGAGGCGCCAUUCCCAGUUACAGUUGUGGGAAAGAUGUGUUCUUUGAUGCGGGACACACGCAGAAGUUUUUAAUUUCCUUUGAAAAUAUUACAUCAGGAGGCAAUUUGUCGCAACUUUCCAGCGUUAGGAAGGUUGAUAUCACAAGUUUCGGGAGCCGGGGAAUAAGGGCAACCCCCCAAUAUCAAUCUCCUUAUGCAGAGAGGGUCACAGAGGAAUCUGAUUUAGAGAAUGAUAGCCCAAGUUAUCCAGGACUGGAGGCAACUAAGCCAGGGGAGAAGCCAAGGGUUGUUGUCCUUGGUACUGGGUGGGCUGCUUGUCGAUUCCUCAAAGGACUUGACACCAAAAUUUAUGAUGUUGUUUGCAUAGCACCAAGGAACCACAUGGUUUUCACUCCCUUGCUUGCUUCCACUUGUGUCGGAACCCUGGAAUUUCGCUCUGUGACUGAACCUGUUGGUAGAAUACAGUCUGCAUUGGCAACGGAGCCCAAUUCCUACUUCUAUCUGGCCUCAUGCACAAGCAUCGACACAAACAAACACGAAGUAUACUGUGAGACGGUUGGCAAUGUUGGACUACCCCAUGAGCCUUACCGGUUUAGAGUUGCAUAUGACAAGCUUGUUAUUGCUUCUGGCGCAGAGCCAUUGACCUUUGGCAUCAAGGGAGUGAACGAACAUGCAUUUUUCCUUCGCGAAGUAAACCAUGCUCAAGAAAUAAGGAAGAAGCUUCUCUUGAACCUCAUGCUCUCUGAAAGUCCAGGUAUAUCAGAAGAAGAAAAGAAGCGCCUAUUACACUGUGUUGUUAUUGGAGGAGGCCCUACUGGGGUGGAGUUUAGUGGCGAACUGAGUGAUUUUAUCAUGAGAGAUGUCCGUGAGAGGUACAGUACUCAUGUUAAGGAUUACAUCCAAGUCACCCUAAUAGAGGCAAAUGAGAUUUUGUCAUCAUUCGAAGUUGGGCUGAGGCAAUAUGCAACAAACCACCUAACUAAGUCUGGUGUUCACUUUAAGCGAGGUGUUGUGAAAGAGGUGCAUGAAAAAAAGAUAGUCCUCAGCGACGGAACUGAUGUUCCAUAUGGCCUCUUGGUAUGGUCUACAGGCGUGGGUCCUUCAGAGUUUGUGAAAUCACUGAACGUUUCCAAGUCCCCUGGUGGAAGGAUUGGUGUGGAUGAAUGGUUCAGGAUUCCUUCAGUGGAAGAUGUGUUUGCACUGGGAGAUUGUGCAGGUUUUCUUGAGCAGACAGGAAAGCAAGUGCUUCCAGCCCUGGCUCAGGUUGCAGAAAGGCAAGGAAAGUUUCUGGUAGAGUUGUUUAAUAGGAUAGGUAAGGAAAAUGGAGGCAAGGCCUUGAGUGGGAAAGACAUCACAAUGGGAGAGCCUUUCGUGUACAAGCACCUUGGCAGCAUGGCAUCGGUGGGGCGUUACAAGGCGCUGGUUGAUCUCCGACAGUCCAAGGAUGCCAGGGGCAUUUCACAUGCAGGGUUCAUCAGCUGGCUCGUCUGGCGCUCAGCCUACUUGACUCGUGUCGUGAGUUGGAGGAACCGCUUUUACGUGGCUGUCAACUGGGCUACCACGCUGGUCUUUGGUAGAGACAACUCGCGCAUCGGUUGAACUGUCAUGAACCCUAUGGCCCAAGCCUAAUGUGUUACACGCCUCUCGCAUCACCCAUUUUCUAGAUUCAGUGAAGGCAUUCCAAUUCAACCUUGACUUUGCCUUCUUUUUCCUACAAAUAAGGGUGGUCGGUACACAUUAAUUAUUAUUGGCCUGCAAGUCAGCGUAAAAGCACCGCAACCGAGCAAUUACCCACGUGUUUAUUUAUGGUGUGCGGCCGCCGAGUAAAGUUAGGUUCCGUCAUAGUGACAUCAUCGUCCCUACCGCGUGCGGGUUUGUCUGUCAAACGCGUGGAAUGCAUUUUCCUCUCGCAUGUAUCACCGGACAUUCAUAAGACACGUGUGGAAUGCACUGUUUUGGGAUGAAUCAUGGCCGUUCAUUCUAAUGAUUUGCCACAGCGAGAUAAGGCAAAAUUGAAAUAUGAAACGACGUCGUUUCCAUGAUUGAAAACAUUUGCAACAGCAAAAACAAAAUCAAUUCAUUCAAAAUUCCUGAAACGUUACAAACACAAAGGGGGGUCUAUUCUCUUUACAAUCUGGUGGUCACUAGAAACUUGAAAGAUGAAGCGGCUGCGAUCAUUCCAAGCGCUGCAAAACCUCUCAAUCUCUUAAGGAAAAAAGAAAGUCUCACAAUUGAGUUCUCCGAUUGGGAUGUGACCGCCGGCCACUGGGUGUGAAGAUGGACGCCACAGAUUGGGCGAACCCCACCACGAUCCCCAUCUUCACCUGACCUCUCUUGGGGAUCGGACGGCCAGAGAGCCUCUGUGAGAAGCUUCCACGGUUGAUCAUGGAUCCUCCUGCACCAUCCAUAGUUUCACAGAAGAUUGGAAGGUUGUCGAUGCGGAAGCUUUGUAAGUGUAAAGGUAAAAGCUUUGCGAGUGUUAAUUGAAGUGGGCUUGGUGGAGAGGUGAGGUGGGAGGCAUCUGGGUUAUAUAGAGGAUUCGGUUCUAAAAUGCCCUUAGUUUUCCGUCAAAUUACAAUAAUACUUUCUAAUCUUAGUGCCUUUUAAUGAGGGCGUUGUUGUCAUUUGGGAAAAAGCUAUGAUAUGAGCAAAAUAAAAGGUGCCGUCUUAAA